rfam:Nematostella vectensis strain CH2 x CH6 NEMVEscaffold_22_Cont4217, whole genome shotgun sequence.
CGGACGGGACGACCCGUACAACAAACCUUCUGCACGGGACGACCUGU